rnacentral:piRNA from 1 species
UCUCAGAGCUCGGUUUCCCGCCAGCCGUGU